rnacentral:rRNA from 1 species
CCUACGGGAGGCAGCAGUGGGGCAUAUUGCACAAUGGGGGAAACCCUGAUGCAGCGACGCCGCGUGAGUGAAGAAGUAUCUCGGUACGUAAAGCUCUAUCAGCAGGGCAGAAAAUUACGGUACCUGACUAAUCAGCCCCGGCUAACUACGUUCCAGCAGCCGCGGUAAUACGUAGGGGGCAAGCGUUAUCCGGAUUUACUGGGUGUAACGGGAGCGUAGACGGCAGCACAAGUCUGGAGUGAAAUCCCGGGGCUUAACCCCGGAACUGCUUUGGAAACUGUGCGGCUGGAGUGCAGGAGGGGUAAGCGGAAUUCCUAGUGUAGCGGUGAAAUGCGUAGAUAUUAGGAGGAACACCGGUGGCGAAGGCGGCUUACUGGACUGUAACUGACGUUGAGGCUCGAAAGCGUGGGGAGCAAACAGGAUUAGAUACCCGUGUAGUC